CCCAUUCUUUCAGUGUUGAAACAUCCUCUAUUGAAUUAGGCUUUCAACCAAGUUCACUGGAGUUUGUUUCAAUAUUGCAAGAAUGAUAAGAUUGAAGC
rnacentral:pre_miRNA from 14 species